UACAGAGACUGCAAGCGUUAUUCGGAUUCACUGGGCGUAAAGGGUGCGCAGGUGGCCAAGUGUGUUAGGCGUGAAAUCCCCGGGCUCAACCCGGGAACUGCGUCCGAUACUGGUGGGCUUGAAUCCGGGAGAGGGAUGUGGAAUUCCAGGUGUAGCGGUGAAAUGCGUAGAUAUCUGGAGGAACACCGGUGGCGAAGGCGGCAUCCUGGACCGGAAUUGACGCUGAGGCGCGAAAGCCUAGGGGAGCAA
rnacentral:rRNA from 1 species